rnacentral:lncRNA from 1 species
CCGCGGCUCACACUUGCUUAGGCCUGCCCCAGCCUCUACUGAAUUGAUGUGGCCGAAAAAGAAAAACAACUUCCUAAACUGCCUGUUUGAUAACCCCUCAAGCACAGCUCCUGGGCUACUC